rnacentral:miRNA from 14 species
UGCUGCCUCUUUCUUUCGUGAUAUU